UCUGCAAGCAUGUGUCUACCCUGGAGGGAACUGAGCCCUCCAGGCCUCCGUUACCCUUCUGGUUCUCAUAACAGUGUGGUUCGCAUUACUGCGGCUGCUGCUGGCCCCUUCUCCCUGAGUGCUGACAGGUUUCAAGGAAGGGCUGGGCCAAAACUGUUUCUCUUUUCUUCUUCAAGCUCUGAACUGAGACAUUCCCUGACAUCCCGGUGACUGGGCUUCUGAGGCCAUUGGAAGCCUCUGUUAUGCAGUUGGCAGAAACGACAGAUAGUGAGUGCAUCCAGCUGCAACAGGAAGCAACAGAUUCCCAGGAGACCUGAUUUUAAAGUCCCUUCUCGGCAACCUGGGCUGCUGAGCCAGUCUCGUGGAGUCCAAUUCCAUAGCUUCGGCAUCACCAAAGAUGUAAACCUGCCACGGUCAGUUAGCCCACUGCCUUUGAGCCUGCGGCAAGCAGAUACUUCAGGGCAAGAAGCAUGUGGUGGAGCCGAGCCAAAACUGGUCCCUUCCUCCUGGCCAAGAAGCCAAGGAGAGAGAGAAUGAGGCUAAGGUCCCAGGAGCGCCACUGGCCUUACUUCCUUCGUCUAGGCCCUCCUCAAAAUUCCACUUCCCUGUAGCACCCCAGGCCUUGGGGACGUCUAACUGGGAAUGAUGGGACUGUUUGAUUCUCUCCCAUCUGCCUCACCUUGCAAACCAAACAGAGACAACUUGCAAAGGUCAGAUGCAUCGUCUGCAGAACACCCCACCGCUGCACAUCUUCAACUCCAGGCUGCUCCCUUAACAUCUGCCCUGCGAUUCUCACUCUAUCUAAAAAGGCUUAAUAGGAAUUGGCUCCAAAAAUACUUGACUGAUGUCAAGGGA